GUAUAUAUGAAGGGCGCUAAGAUUGUUUAAUUCGAACAAUGGAAGGAAAGGAAGAAAGCAUGUACAAUGGGAAGUAAUCAAGGCUCCUAGGCAGCCAGAUGUGAAACAAUGAGGUUAUUACGUGAUGAGAUUUAUGAGACAAAUUACUGAAGAAAUUGCAAUGAUCGAGGGGGAUACACUACCAUCGAUAUUCACAAAAGCGGAGUACUC